rnacentral:rRNA from 1 species
UACGUAGGGGGCAAGCGUUGUCCGGAUUUAUUGGGCGUAAAGAGCGUGUAGGCGGCCAUACAGGUCAGCUGUGAAAACUCGAGGCUCAACCUCGAGACGCCGGUGGAAACCAUCAGACUAGAGUCCGGAAGAGGAGAGUGGAAUUCCUGGUGUAGCGGUGAAAUGCGCAGAUAUCAGGAAGAACACCCGUGGCUAAGGCGGCUCUCUAGUACGGUACUGACGCUGAGACGCGAAAGCGUGGGGAGCAAACAGG